GUCUAUGGCCAUGCUACCCUGAACAAGCCCGAUCUCGUCUGAUCUCGGAAGCUAAGCAGGGUUGGGCCUGGUUAGUACUUGGAUGGGAGAUCACCUAGGAAGACCAGGUGCUGUAGGUG
rnacentral:rRNA from 1 species